CCUCAAGAACUUUGAAAUUCCUCUGGGUUUUAAUAGCUUUUUUUUCUCUCUUUUUUUAAAAGAAAAAUCUAAAAUAUCUGAAUUUACCAAAAAUAAACAUAGCUUCUACAUGGAACUUUGUUACAGGUGUAUCAUAUAGCGCAAGUCUAACAAAGUUGUAAAAAGUUUAUCACUGUAGAAUAUCAGAUAGUGUAAUAUGGCAGUUCAAUGAAAAAUGGAUGGAUUUACUAAACAUCUUAAAGCUUCAAAAACAAUUAGUGUGAUAGAACAUAUAUAAAAAUAAUAGUGAAAUUUACAACACACAUUCUCAAAACAUUUAACACUUGUCAACUUUAAAUACAACAAUACAAGCCAGGUAGUCUUCAAAUUGAUUAAAUAAUAAUAUACACAUCACACAUUCCAAUAUAAGGUUACAAUAUACGUAAAUAAGAUGGAAGAACUAAUGAUUUAAUACAAACAUGCUAUCCCUUUCAUACAUAGUACAUAUGUUUCGCUUGUGAUUCCUAACAAGGUAGUAUAUAUGUCUACAUACUGAUACAAAGGCUCUACUUAUCUUCUCUGUGCUUCUAUUUAAUAUACACGUAUGAAAAAAACAUCACACCUUUUGAUGUAAGGCAAAUAUCAGGGGGUUAUUCUUCAUCCCCGUAGUGGGAGUAUGUCACAAAAUCUAAUAAAAAAAGAAGUCAACCAGGUUUUUUUUAAGACAUUCACUGUUGUAUUCAUGUGUCAAUCUGCAUAAAAUAUUUCUGUGAGAUCAUUAAUUUUAACCAUGCAACAAUAGAACGAUUUAUGACAUUAAUUUCCAGUGCGGUAAAAGUCUUGAAUUAUGCAUAAUACGCUGUUCAUAUUUCCAUAACAAUCAAUAUUGUGUCCACAUGUGUCCGUAUAAACAUUUUCCCUAGAAAUUCUUUUUUCACUCUCAUUAGUGACUGCAUCUCUAAUGUCAGACUUGGAAACAUUCUGAAGAAUUACAAAAUAGAAAACAAAACUUGCAGCUUGAAUUGAGAGAUGAAAAAUGAUAUUUCUGUGAAAACUGAAUAUUAAUUUUCUUCAUGGUAACAACAUCGAUGAUAUGCCACUGUCCUGUUAUACAAACAUCAUAGCACAUCUAAAAAUACAUAUAAGAUUAUGACAAUCCUUAAGAGAACAUGUUUACAUGCCUGCAUAUACUAUUUCAUGUUGUUCUCUACCUUCCUUCUACAAUAAACCCCACUCACUCACAAAGCAACAAUGUCAUAACACUACAUAUAGCUAUCAAGAAUAACAUCGAAACAAUGCUUAACCCCAUUUAUAUCUUGUACACUCACAAACUGGAGAAAAAACUAGGUAAACUUAUGAGAAUGACUGAAUGGUUUUACUUUCAGUCAUGAAAUUUUAAUGUUUGCACACAUGCGUGGUGUGAUUUAUUGUUAUGAUAUAAGCGGUACUGCAAUAAACGGCAUAAUUACAAUUUACAGCGAUCAUGAUUUUCCAAACACGUGUUACCCUGUCAGGAGUCAUUUUUUACUGCUGUACAUCAAUUCACACAAUUCAUGUUUGUAUAAUCUGGGUAACUGAUUGAAAAGAUGAUAGGUAGACACUUUGGUGUCAUUUAAACGGUUGCGUUAAAAUUGACGUUUUCCUAGUCUGUUUUUCUUUUAUUUUUGCUAAUACAGUGACAUCAUACAUGUUUCUAGAUUAUGUUACAAUAUAUUUACUAAAA